CCCCCCCCCCCCCCCCCCCCCCCCCCCCCCCCCCCCCCCCCCCCCCCCCCCCCCCCCCCCCCCCCCCCCCCCCCCCCCCCCCCCCCCCCCCGGCUCCUCCUUCCCUGUCCCGGCUCCUCCUUCCCUUUCCCGGCUCCUCCCGCCCGGAGGAAAUAAUCAUUCCAGUCUGGUUUGAGAGUCCUCAGUGCAAACGAGCACGGAAAUUGUGAUUUCUGCAUAAGAGAUGCCCGAUUUCGCUGCCCAGGCACUGAGUCAGAGAUGACCCCAAACUGUCCCUGUCUCCGUCCCUGUCCCUAUCCCUGUCCCUUCACGUGUGUCCCCAGUCACUCCUCCCUGCCCUGAGCCGGUGCAAACCUGGCAUUUACUGCCCACUGCAAAAUUUCUUCUCCAGCAAAAAAAAAAAAAAAAAAAAAAAAAAAAAAAAGAGAGCUGGAGAGAAACAGUUAUUAAUUUCCCAAAAAAAAAAAAAAAAAAAAAAGAAAAGGAAAAAAAACUCAUCUAGAACUCCUGAACAAACCUGGAAGGUUUUUUUUUCUUUCUGAAAGUCUCACUUAAAGCAACCUCAGAUCUUUUUUUUUUUUUCAGCCUGCAGAACCAGUGAGGAUGCUGAACAUCACCUGGAUACGUUUUUUAAUCCUUAAUAAAUAGAUUUUGCUUUCAGUGAAGUGGUGUAAAGUCGCUUCUCUUUCAAGUUCAUCACUAAACAGGGACACACGUGGUGGGACAGGGACACACGUGGUGGGACAGGGACAGGGAUAGGGACAGGGACACACGUGGUGGGACAGGCACAGGGGAUAACUGGAAACAUCAACCUGAAAGCCGAGAUGCUUUUCCAGUCGGGUGUGGAUGUGGCACUUGGGGACACGGUUGUCCCCUCGCUGUCCCCGUGUCGCGGCGUUUGCUGGCUGGCGACGGCUCCGUUUAAUUAAACCUCAGCGCUUAAUUAAGGCUGUGACGCUGCUGAACAGCGCCGGGGCUGUUCCAGGGGGCGAGGGUAGAUGGCACCAGCGGGCGGCGCAUGGAGCAGGGAUUGCUGCCCCGGGAAUUUGGGAUUGCUGCCCUGGGAAUUGGAGAUUGCUGUCCCGGGAAUUUGGAAUUGCCGCCAUCGGGAAGUGGGGAUUGCAGGGAAGGGAAAGGGCGGAGCUGGCUCAGGGCAGGGGCUGGAGAGCACGGAAAGGCGGAAUGACCACCCGGGACCGGGCCCGGCUGGAGCGGGAGCUCCAGGAUUGUUUGGAUGCUCCCAAGGAUGCACAGGGUGGGAUUUUGGGACGUUUUUUUGGGAUGUCCGGGUCCUUUCCCGCUCUCACUCCCAGGGAUGCUCUGCCCUCUGUGACCCACGGGGCAUUUUCCUCCCCAUCCCUGCUCUGGGAACAAAGAUUUUCAGGAUCUCAGGAGGCAGAAACAAACCCUGGGAUAGUGGCACUGCUGAGCCCUGAGCAGCGAUGGCAGUGACCUGUCACACAGGGCAGGGUGACAGUGACCUGUGACAGGGCAGGGUGGCACUGAUCUGUCACACACAGAGCAGGGUGACACUGAUCUGUCACACAGGGCAGGGUGACACUGAUCUGUCACACACGGAGCAGGGUGACACUGAUCUGUCACACACAGAGUGGGGUGGCACUGAUCUGUCACACAGGACAGUGGUGACACUGAUCUGUCACACACAGUGCAGGGUGACACUGAUCUGUCACACAGGGCAGGGUGACAGUGACCUGUCACACACGGAGCAGGGUGACACUGAUCUGUCACACACAGAGUGGGGUGACACUGAUCUGUCACACAGGGCAGGGUGACACUGAUCUGUCACACACAGAGCAGGGUGACACUGAUCUGUCACACAGGGCAGUGUGACACUGAUCUGUCACACACAGCCCCCCCCCCCCCCCCCCCCCCCCCCCCCCCCCCCCCCCCCCCCCCCCCCCCCCCCCCCCCCCCCCCCCCCCCCCC
ensembl:lncRNA